rnacentral:rRNA from 1 species
GGAAUUUUGGACAAUGGGGGCAACCCUGAUCCAGCAAUGCCGCGUGAGUGAAGAAGGCCUUCGGGUUGUAAAGCUCUUUUGUCAGGGAAGAAACAGCAGCUCUAACACAGUCUGCGAAUGACGGUACCUGAAGAAUAAGCACCGGCUAACUACGUGCCAGCAGCCGCGGUAAUACGUAGGGUGCGAGCGUUAAUCGGAAUUACUGGGCGUAAAGCGUGCGCAGGCGGUUAUACAAGACAGGCGUGAAAUCCCCGGGCUUAACCUGGGAAUGGCGUCUGUGACUGUAUAGCUAGAGUGUGUCAGAGGGGGGUGGAAUUCCACGUGUAGCAGUGAAAUGCGUAGAUAUGUGGAGGAACACCAAUGGCGAAGGCAGCCCCCUGGGAUAACACUGACGCUCAUGCACGAAAGCGUGGGGAGCAAACAGGAUUAGAUACCCUGGUAGUCCACGCCCUAAACGAUGCUGACUAGUUGUUGGGAAUUUACAUUCUCAGUAACGUAGCUAACGCGUGAAGUCAGCCGCCUGGGGAGUACGGUCGCAAGAUUAAAACUCAAAGGAAUUGACGG